rnacentral:tRNA from 1 species
CCUGGUGGCUCAAUGGUUAAAGCGUCUGCCCGCAAUGCAGGAGACCUGGGUUCGAUCCCUGGGUCAGGA